CUUGGAUUCAGGGCUGUCCACCAGAUGCAUUUCUAGAUUUUCGGGUCAAUAUAAUUUUAUUGGAAUCGCUUUUAUAAUGACGAUAUACAAACGGGUGCCAAAUUAAAGAAAAAAACAUUUGUAAUGUGGGUUUUAUACACUGCAACCCUAGUAGCCUAUAAUAUCACCAGAGGCGUCGCUAGGAUCACAAUUCAUUCGGGGCUUCGCAGCAUUGUAGUUCGAAAGAUCGGUUGGCAGUAUAACGUGUACCCAACGAAAGGUGUAACCGUAUGUUGUGUUGACUUAAAGUAUCAACAAACAUUAAUUAACAUUAAUUAAUUGCAUUAUUACAGCCACAGAUCGUGGAAAGCCUCAUCAACUGAUGUCUCCAACCCACGGUCUACCCCCAAGUCCCCAGUCCUAGCAACAAUGCAGCAGUUUGGCUGGCAUCAGCAUCGCUACCCUCAGUGGUUUGGCAAGUUCAACAACCAUGCAGCAGUCCCUGUCCUUGUUUUAUGGGGCGCACCGAGGGAGCCCGAGCUGGAGGGUGCCCCUGAGGAGCCUCUGCCGCCACCACCACCACCACCAGAAUGGUUGGAGGAGGGGUUACUGCUGCCGCCCCCGGAGGGGUGGGAUUACGCUUCUGUCCUGUCACUGAGCCCAGUCUCGAUCCUGGUUGGUUUUUGUUUGUGAAUGCAGCCCAUUAUGUUUGGUUUUCUGUCCUUGUCCUUAUUGUUUCCACCUGUGUCUUGUUUGCUCCCUCGUUGUGUCUCUAUUUAAGUUCCUCCUGCCCCAGUGGAUGCAUGGAAGAAUGUUUCAGAGUGAGUGAUACAUGCAUGAAGUAAAACGAAGUAAAUUGUUAUUUAAACAUUGACAAAUCACUGAUUUGGCAUCAUGUUGAUAAGUAAUACAUUUUUUGUAGUGGAGUCAUGCAAAUAAUAAAUACUUAUCAAUAAUUGCGGG
rnacentral:lncRNA from 1 species